UUGAAAGGGAAACGAUUGAAGUCAGUCGUGCUGGCGCGAAAUCAACCUUCUCGUCUCGAGAUCACAUGGCGUGGCGAGCCUCAAAACCGUCACGAAGCGUGAACUCUUGGUGAAAUGGAGCACUUUCGUGUCCGCUGGUUAACAUCAAUUUCGAACGUCAUAAAAAGGCUGGAGGGAUGUGGCUCCUUCGGGAGUGUUAUAACCUUUAGCGGAAUGUGGUGGUCGGGAUUGGGGAUUGCAACGAAUACCUUUAGGGCUGUUCCACCUGGCUUCUCAUUGGUAUCCUGGUGACGACAGCUUGCUGACGUUGUUAGGAUUCGCCUUUGAACAGGCUAGAGUGUGAGCAAAUCGUUAAGGAUGUUGACGUA
rnacentral:rRNA from 1 species